GAUGAACGCUGGCGGCGUGCUUAACACAUGCAAGUCGAACGGAAAGGCUCCUGCUUGCAGGGGUACUCGAGUGGCGAACGGGUGAGUAACACGUGGGUGAUCUGCCCUGCACUUCGGGAUAAGCCUGGGAAACCGGGUCUAAUACCGGAUAGGACGAUGGUUUGGAUGCCAUUGUGGAAAGUUUUUCGGUGUGGGAUGAGCUCGCGGCCUAUCAGCUUGUUGGUGGGGUAAUGGCCUACCAAGGCGUCGACGGGUAGCCGGCCUGAGAGGGUGUACGGCCACAUUGGGACUGAGAGACGGCGCAGACUCCUACGGGAGGCAGCAGUGGGGAAUAUUGCACAAUGGGCGCAAGCCUGAUGCAGCGACGCCGCGUGGGGGAUGACGGCCUUCGGGUUGUAAACUCCUUUCGCUAGGGACGAAGCGCAAGUGACGGUACCUGGAGAAGAAGCACCGGCUAACUACGUG
rnacentral:rRNA from 1 species